rnacentral:rRNA from 1 species
UACGUAGGGCGCAAGCGUUGUCCGGAAUUAUUGGGCGUAAAGGGCGCGUAGGCGGUGCGGCAAGUCUCCUGUGAAAUCUCUGGGCUCAACUCAGAGUCUGCAGGAGAAACUGCCGUGCUUGAGUGUGGGAGAGGUGAGUGGAAUUCCCGGUGUAGCGGUGAAAAUGCGUAGAUAUCGGGAGGAACACCUGUGGCGAAAGCGGCUCACUGGACCACAACUGACGCUGAGGCGCGAAAGCUAGGGGGAGCAAACAGG